AGAGUUUGAUCUGGCUCAGAACGAACGCUGGCGGCGUGCCUAACACAUGCAAGUCGAACGGGAUUAGGGGCUUGCUCCUAAUCUAGUGGCGCACGGGUGAGUAACGCGUAGAUAAUCUGCCUGAUGAUCUGGGAUAACACUUCGAAAGGGGUGCUAAUACCGGAUAAGCCCACGGGGUCUUUGGACUCUGCGGGAAAAGGGGGGGACCUUCGGGCCUUCUGUCAUCAGAUGAGUCUGCGUACCAUUAGCUAGUUGGUAGGGUAAUGGCCUACCAAGGCUACGAUGGUUAGCUGGUUUGAGAGAAUGAUCAGCCACACUGGAACUGAGACACGGUCCAGACUCCUACGGGAGGCAGCAGUGGGGAAUUUUGCGCAAUGGGCGAAAGCCUGACGCAGCAACGCCGCGUGAGUGAUGAAGGCUUUCGGGUCGUAAAGCUCUGUCGAGGGGAAAGAAGUGUAUCGUGGCUAAUAUCCACGAUACUUGACGGUACCCCUAAAGGAAGCACCGGCU
rnacentral:rRNA from 1 species